rnacentral:snRNA from 1 species
AGCUUUGUGCAGUGGCAGUGUUGUAGCCAAUGAGAUUUAUUCAAGGCUCAAUUAUUGCUAAUUGAAAACUUUUCCCAAUACCUCCCCAUGAUGACUUGCAAUAUAGUCGGCACUGGCAAUUUUUUGACAGCCUCUAUGGGG